CAGCUUUUGUGGUUAUCAAUU
rnacentral:miRNA from 8 species